GAUCAUGAGAUUUUGAAAUGAACCUCAAGAAUGAUAUGCGAAAGCACAUCUUGGUAGCUUUUGUUCUUUCCCUUGAUGAUCACCUCCUGCUCACACAGUCACUUCUUCCUUCAAUUCUCCCAGAUGUUGGAAGUCAACCUCAUUGUUUCGGUUCAUGAAUUAUAUUGUGCAAUAAGUUAAAUGAAAGGAGUUGAAUUGCAACAAAAACAACAGUAAAAUUUUUAUGAAUUUCACUUUAGGGAAGAGUAUAAACAUCUUCUUUGUUUUUAACUUAUCAAUUUUCCAUCAGCUUUUUAGGAGCAGCCUUUCCAGCUUGCUUUUAGGAAUGAUAGCAUCAGCAAACACAGGAGAAAGAGGCUGUAUGGGCCAGCAGCUGUAAGACGCCAGGAUAUUGGAAGCUUCAGAUGGUCAAAUCACCACUUCCAAGACAACAAUGAGAUUCAAAUGAAAAUCGAAUCAAUCCAGAUCCAUUGAGGCCAAUAAUGUACCUGGUUACUGGGAGUAAUGAAAAGAUGAUGGAGAUAUUGAUUCUGCCUUCAAGAAGCUUACAGUUUAGUGGCAGAGAUCUUCACUCCAGACCUGAGAAGAAUUCUUGAGAAGCUGCAACACUUUGUAUGGAGAGACUAGCACGGAAAAAGUUUAUUAAGUAAGUAAAAGACUGAAUGCAAAGAUAAUCCUUACACAGAGAGCCUACACUUUCUUACAAUAGAGGAAAAUGUUUUCUGUCUGGCCAGUCAGGUUGCAUCUAUGAGAGUACAGUUUCUACUGCUUGUAGAGAAAUUUCUGGAUAAAUACGCUUUCAUAGCAAUACUAAUCUCCACUGCUUGAAGAGAAAAUACCAUUUGGGGGAACUGGUGGAAUGGCAGUGCUCUGCUAAGAUUUCUAUUAUUCUCAAGAAUGUGUUGAUGAUCAUCUUCCUUAUCUUUAAACAGUUACUAUGUUUACCUCCAAGUGAAUUUCCUUUCUCCGUAGAGAUGCUAUUUUGGUAGCGAUCCUCUUUUCCUGUACAAAUGUCAAAAUCUGCUUAGUAAGGAAACAGCAAUGAAGUGCUUCACUUGAAAACUACAGAUGAUCUUGAAGAACGCAGUUCACGAUACAACCAAAGUCAACAUAAAGUUGAAUCUCCCAGAGCGGAGGUUACGAAAAGCUGUUACGAAUCAUCCAGCAUUCAGUGUGUGGGGCAGAGAGGGAGAGAUAAGCAGAGAAGAAUGGCUACAUUAUGAUGCUUGGUGUAUGAAGUAGAGAGGAAAGGACUCGACAUCUGGCAGUACAACACAGUUUUGCAGCACAGAGAGCUCAGUUUAUUUCACUAACAUCUAGGCUACAUUUGGAAAAUGCAGUAAAGAGAGAAAUAUGUCCAGAUAUUCCACGACUCCAUUAUCCUUCACAUAUCCUAUAUCAUGCAUGGACAAAAGAAUGAUGGAGAUGAUUUACCACUUAGAUCCCUAAAAUUCAUAAAUGCAUAGAAUAUCAGAGUUGAAAAAGAUUUUAGAAAUUCUUUAGGUCAGGUUAUUCUUAAAGGAGGAUUAUCAAAUCUUGCCUCCUGCAUAAGAAUCCCCUAAGAUCCUUGGGUUGUGACUUAAUUCUGAUACAAGGUGAACUAAAUAGCAUUGGUUCUGACUAAUGGACUCAUUCAUUUAUUCACCCAUUCAUCCAACAAAAAAGUGUUGAAUGACCCCAGUGUGUCCGUUUCUGUGCCACUGGUUUCCAGGGAGGUAAUGAGGAAGAAGUCAAGGGCUGCACCCUUGGAGAAUGCAGGGGCUAGGACAGGAAUCUCACACAUAAACAUUUAAUUCUGCUACACAUAAUGUUGUGAAAAAGUGAGUGUUUAUAAAAUGCUAUAGAAAUGCAGAGAAGGAGAUCAUUUUUUCUGCUUGGCACAGUUGGGGAAAAUCUUUCAGAAGUGGCAUUGAAAUCAGGACUUUGAAGAUGAAUGGAUGCUCGUCAUUUGGAGAGAAAAGAGAAAAAAAGAAUGAUAUUCUAGACAAGAGGAAGAGGCAAAAACACAUGAUAAGUUAACAAAACAGUAAAUAACUUGAUACUACUGGAAGGCAGGUGGGAAGGUAGAAAUGAUAUUUGCUGUGUAACUUAAGGCCUUGUCCGUCAUACCUGUGGCAGUUAUUUUAGUGUGUAUGAACACUACAUAUCCCAUUUCUUCUUUUCAGUCUUGAGCAGGAAGCGGUACUCAUUUCCAGAAUCAUGAGAUUGACUUGAUGAGACCUUCAUAUUGAAGAUAAAAACAAGGAAACUUUGAGUUAUCAUAGCCCAUUGUUUUCAGAAGAGUAUGUGUUUCUCAUGGGCAAAGGAGAGAAUCCAGAGUGAGAAGCUGAAGAAAGUGUGAAGUGCUAGAUUGGCGUGAUUUCAAAAGUUGUCCUUGAUGCUGCGAUGUAUCCUACAAUUGUUUAAAUGGAACGCAUUUUGAAAAUCUCGUUUCUUCAUACCAGUCUGAAACACUGGGGUACACCUGAAAGGGGGAACAGGCAGACAUGAAGAAGAAAACAACCCUGGCGUCCGGGUGCUGAUUGCCUUUUUUAUUCGCUUGAAAAGCCUCUCAGUGGAUUGAUUUGUGAUUUGGAUACCACUUCUCCAGCUCGGGACUCUGAAGUCUGUGCUUGUCGUACACUUCAGACAGUCAGCAGCCUGCUCAUAGAUGCCCCCUGUUUGUCAUGGACGCUUCCACAGAUAAGAGAAAAGGAGAGUGGAAGGAAGCGCAAAGAAGUCUGAGCCGCAGGGAGUCUCUUCAGGCCCUGGAAACACUUGCAGGAAAAAUGACAUCAUUUGAAUGAAAGAGUGAAUAUUAGAGGAAGGCCUGGCUUUGGAAGAGUCCAGUCUGAUAAAGAAGAUGAGUGUGGACACAACUAUGACAGAACCAAACUGAGCACACUCAUAGACACAGAAACACGUGCACACACAGUCUAGAGAUGCACAGCUCUGCAAGUGUUAAUUGCCACCUUUCAAGUAAAGAAAGUAACGUCACACUCAUGAUGGAACAAUGUCUGUCCAGGAUACUCUUCCGGAGCUAACAGAGGGCACAAAUACGAGCAGCUUGCAUAGCUAAGGCCAGGAGGAUUCCAGCAGGCAGCCAUUGCUUUGGGAGCUUUUGCCUGAGGAAGUUGUUCAGAGCUAGAAAACAGAAGCUGCUUCGCCUCCAAGCUCUGGUUUUCAUUUGCAGAAGUGAUCCUACAUUACAUUUGGCCAUCACGUCUCCCUGGACUCUUCUUGGCUGUGACAGUUUCUCAGACUUUCCUUGUUUCGAUCCCCUUGACAGCUUGAGGAGGACUGGCUAAGUAUUUUUUAGGAUGUCUCUGUAUUAACAAUUGUCUAAUGUUUUUCUCGCGAUUGAACUGGAGUUUCAAUAAUAUAUUCAAAACAAUCCUUCUCACAUCCUGCCCUUCAAAAAAAAAAAAAAAAUUCAUACCCUCAAACGUAACAAAAUCCCCCAGCCUCAACUCAGGAUGAUGUUAUGUAUCUUGUAAUUCAUUGACAAAUUUGCAAAAUGACACUGAAUACUGCAGGCUGCAGGCCUUUCCAUUAGUAACCUCACCCUAGGUACAAAUAAACAUCAUUUAAUGGAAGUUCCAUCAAUGGAGGAGGCUAAUCUUUGGCCUCCUGGGUUACAGGACGCUCUUGUUAGUUCCCUCCAGCACCUCCUCCACAUGUUGAAUUUUAAUGGGGCUGGGAAACCUGUGGGUUAGAAGUGUAUUGGUGUUAUUUCCUGUUUCCACUUCAGUUAGCCUCCCAACUUUCUGAUUUGACAUGAAUUUCGGGAGGGAAUGCAAUGUACACAACGGGAAACAAACACCUAAUUUUUUUCUUCUUUAAUAUGGCAACUUUUAAAAGACAGUGCAACUUUAAAAAUAGCAAAUAUUAUCACAUUGUGAGGAAGGAAAGUUUUUAUAAUGUACUAAGAGGUCCAAGUCACAUGAUGCUCACUGCCUAGUUUUUGUAAGCACUUUAUAAAUGCUGAGUGCAGGUGUUCACAUGCCUAAUGCCUACCCUUUACCAGGCGAUAUCAAACUCCUGUUUCUACUCCACGUGUUUCUCAUGUCCUUUGAAUACUCCACAUUUUAUAAUUGAAAUCUAGGACAACCCUGUGAGUUGAGAAAGAAAAAAUUAAUUUUUUUUUUUUGUUUAACAUAAAAUAAACAUAGGUGAUUUCUUUCUUUUGUCAUUUCCCAGAUAGGCUAGGUUCUGAGACCUCGUUGCAUCUUAGCAGGAGGCCGGUGGGGAAGAAUCUGGGGAUGGAUAGAAAACUGGCAGAGCUCAUUCCCAAAGGAGAGUGUCAAUCACAUAACUUCUGCUGUCACCAAGAAAGUGGGACCAAGUCAGCCCUAAUUCAGAGAUGGUUCUAGGUGACCCACCAAAUGUUUGUGUUGGACUGACCAGUUUAUGCUGUUCUCUGCAGGCUGACCUACCAUGAGGGUGGAGAGGAUGAAAGGGUCCAGGCAGCAGAAACAGCAUAGGGAGCGCGCAGGGAGACCUGAGGCUUGGGAAGCAUCCCUGGUCGAACAGAAGCAAGAAGAAGGAAAAAGGACACGUAUUUAUAAGCGUGAUGUCUGCACACACAGCAGCCUCACCCGUGACGUGACGGGUCACGAAAUGAAUUGACCUGCUAGAUCACUGUCUAGCACAGAAUUACUGAGAAUCUGCCAGGUGGAAGAAAGUGCCCAGGAACUGGAAAUCCAGCACUGAACGGAAGGACAUCCCUCAUGGAGCUUGCAUUUUAGGAGCUCAGUUACCCUGGGAGAAGCCAGCCUGCACAUUGUGAAGGCACCAAAGCUGACUGCACAGAGAUGACAGGAAGAGAAACUGAGGCUUCCCAUCAACAGCCAACACCAACUUGCCAGCCAUAUAAGUGAGACAUAGUAAAAGCAGAUCCAUCAGAUGGUUAGGUCUUCAAAAAACUGCAGCUUUGCCAACCUUGCAAAAAACCCUGGAUCAAAACCGUUCAGAUAAGCCACUCCCAAAUAUGCAGGCUACUGUAGUAGUUACUCAUUGAUGCAUACCCAAUUAUUCCAAAAUGUAGUGGCGGGCGCCUGUAGUCCCGGCUACUCGGGAGGCUGAGGCAGGAGAAUGGCGUAAAAACC